rnacentral:rRNA from 1 species
UGAGUGGCGAACGGGUGAGUAACACGUGAGUAACCUGCCCUCUUCUUUGGGAUAACGCCCGGAAACGGGUGCUAAUACUGGAUAUUCACUGAUCUUCGCAUGGGGGUUGGUGGAAAGGUUUUUUCUGGUGGGGGAUGGGCUCGCGGCCUAUCAGCUUGCUGGUGGGGUGAUGGCCUACCAAGGCUUUGACGGGUAGCCGGCCUGAGAGGGUGACCGGUCACAUUGGGACUGAGAUACGGCCCAG